UUCUCACACAGGCCCUGAGGGAAAGCCUGUUCUCAUGGUCCCUAAAGCCUGUAAAAUGAUGACUGGGAAAGAUUCCUCUGCAGCUCAUGUAGCAUCAGUUAAGAUCAGCUGGAUUAAUCUAUUAGCACCAGCUAUGUGAGUCAGGCUUCUUGACAUUAACUUCAAUCAGAACAAAGUGAGGUCCCAUAUUUCUGACGAAGAUGACUUACAUCUCUUCCUUUCUACACUGCAACUGCAAAUUCUACUACUUUGCAGCGAGGAAACAAACACACCCCUCUCGUAAUAAGUUUUGGGCACCAUACUUGAAGAAAGAGAUGAACAAGCUCAAAAGAGACCAGAGGAGAGCAACAAAAAUGACUUGAGGUCUAGGACACAUGACUAAUGAGAAAAGGUUGGAAGAACUAUUAUUAUUUAGUGUGGAGAAGAGACAAUAAAGAAGGGUCCUGAUAAGAGCCUUCACAUAACCAAAAGGUAGUUACAGUAGUGUAACUCGGGAGUGGGGGUAGGACAGGUGAGCAGGACACCAGCAUCAGAUGCAAACUAAGGGGAGGCAUCAGGAUCUCAACCCGCUCCCAUGAGUCUUUGCUAUGGCAAGGGUAUCCCUAUGCUGCUCAACCACGUUAUCCAGGCAGCACAAGCUUGCACCCAUCGGCAUAUCUAGA